rnacentral:rRNA from 1 species
GGCAACAGCUCAAAUUUGAAAUCUGGCUCCUUGCGGGGUCCGAGUUGUAAUUUGUAGAGGGUGCUUUGGCGUUGGCCGUGGUCUAAGUUCCUUGGAACAGGACGUCACAGAGGGUGAGAAUCCCGUACGUGGCCAGUGGCCUCCGCCGUGUAAAGCCCCUUCGACGAGUCGAGUUGUUUGGGAAUGCAGCUCUAAAUGGGAGGUAAAUUUCUUCUAAAGCUAAAUACUGGCCAGAGACCGAUAGCGCACAAGUAGAGUGAUCGAAAGAUGAAAAGCACUUUGGAAAGAGAGUCAAAAAGCACGUGAAAUUGUUGAAAGGGAAGCGCUUGCAGCCAGACUCGCUCGCGGUUGUUCACCCAGGCUUCUGCCUGGUGCACUCUUCCGCGGGCGGGCCAGCAUCGGUUCGGGCGGUCGGAUAAAGGCCUGGGGAAUGUAGCUCUCUCCGGGGAGUGUUAUAGCCCCAGGUGCAAUGCGGCCAGCUCGGACCGAGGUCCGCGCAUCUGCUAGGAUGCUGGCGUAAUGGCUGUAAGCGGCCCGUCUUGAAACACGGACCAAGGAGUCUAACAUCUAUGCGAGUGUUUGGGUGUCAAGCCCGAGCGCGCAAUGAAAGUGAACGGAGGUGGGAACCCUCUCCUGGGCGCACCAUCGACCGAUCCUGAUGUCUUCGGAUGGAUUUGAGUAAGAGCAUAGCUGUUGGGACCCGAAAGAUGGUGAACUAUGCCUGAAUAGGGUGAAGCCAGAGGAAACUCUGGUGGAGGCUCGCAGCGGUUCUGACGUGCAAAUCGAUCGUCAAAUUUGGGCAUAGGGGCGAAAGACUAAU